rnacentral:rRNA from 1 species
AGGACGAACGCUGGCGGCGUGCUUAACGACGAUGCAAGUCACGGGGGCCCGCAAGGGCAACCGGCGAACGGGUGCGUAACACGUGAGCAACCUGCCGAUCUGUGGGGGAUAGCCGGGCUAACGCCCGGGUAAUACCGCAUACGGUUGCCGAGGGGAGUCCCUUGGCAAAGAAACCUCCGGGGCAGAUCGAGGGGCUCGCGGCCUAUCAGCUAGUUGGGGGGGUAAUGGCCCACCAAGGCGACGACGGGUAGCUGGU